GUGAACUGAGUGAUUCUCAAAAUAAACUUUCGGAGCGAAGCAAUAAGCCUUGUACAAUUACAUCUAAUAAAUCUGAUAACCAUGAAUUUACCCACUGCCUCACUACAAAUGAUUUAC